GUACACGCUGUGACUAGCAUAUCAAUAAGCGGAGGAAAAGAAACUAACAAGGAUUCCCUUAGUAACGGCGAGUGAAGCGGGAAGAGCUCAAAUUUGAAAUCUUAAAGGGUUUCCCUUUACGAAUUGUAGUUUAAAGAAGUGUUUUCUGUUAGAGGUUUCGGUAAAAGUUCUUUGGAAUAGGACAUCAUAGAGGGUGAGAAUCCCGUAUUUGACCGUUAUUUCUAGCUUUGUGAUACACUUUCAAAGAGUCGGAUUGUUUGGGAAUGCAGUCCAAAAUGGGUGGUAAAUUUCAUCUAAAGCUAAAUAUUGGCGAGAGACCGAUAGCGAACAAGUACCGUGAGGGAAAGAUGAAAAGAACUUUGAAAAGAGAGUUAAACAGUACGUGAAAUUGUCAAAAGGGAAGCGUUCGACACCAGUGUUGUUUUUCUGAAAAUCAAUUAAAGAACUGUUUAUGCUAAGCUGUUUAGACUUUAUCAGCUAAUCUGUUUAGUUUUGAGCUUUUCUUUAAUGCACUUUUCAGUUAACAAGUCAACAUCAAUUUCUUUUGCUGUAAAAAAGCUUGAGGAAGGUGGCUUGAGAUUCGUCUUAAGUGUUUAUAGCCUCUUGCCUAUGCAGUCGGAGAGAUUGAGGUCUGCAGCGUAGAUCCUUCGGGGCUAAAUGCAUUUGUGCUAAGUUAUAGCAUUUUAUAGACAACUUGUUGACUAUGAUUUGUCUUGUAGCUUACUCGCUUAUGUUAUUUUACCUACGCUUAGGAUGUUGAGCGCAUGUCUCUCUCU
rnacentral:rRNA from 1 species